rnacentral:tRNA from 1 species
GUUGUGGUUCAGUGGUAGAGCACUUGCCUAGCAUGUGCGAGGCCCUGCCUGGGUUCAAUCCUCAGCACCACA